UACGUAGGGCGCGAGCGUUGUCCGGAAUUAUUGGGCGUAAAGAGCUCGUAGGUGGCUUGUUGCGUCUGCCGUGAAAGCCCGUGGCUUAACUACGGGUCUGCGGUGGAUACGGGCAGGCUAGAGGCUGGUAGGGGCAAGCGGAAUUCCUGGUGUAGCGGUGAAAUGCGCAAAUAUCAGGAGGAACACCGGUGGCGAAGGCGGCUUGCUGGGCCAGUACCGACGUUCAGGCACGAAAGCGUGGGGAGCAAACAGG
rnacentral:rRNA from 1 species